rnacentral:rRNA from 1 species
AUGUCACUAACAAGUCUACAAUCCUUUAGGUAUAAGAUCCCCCUUACACUAAUAGAUAGCUCAGCAAGUUUGGAUGCAGUUGCGUUUAAUAAAAUAGCUGAAGACUUGGUUGAGUGUCAUGCUGAGCAAGUUUCUAUGAACAUGAAAAUAGAUGUUGUGGAUCAUGUGCUUUCCCUAGAUAAAGCCAUUGGUAAAGAAAGGUUAUUCUAUAUAGGAAUGAAUAUUGAUUUAGCUGCCAAGUACCCUAUAAAAUAUGUCCUGAAAAAAAGUUUCCCCGUGGACAAUACCAAAUCGGUUCCUCUAUUAACUGCUUCAAAGGUAACAACUUUUUGA